CCUUCGGUUUCAUCUCCGGCUCGGAUAGAUAUCACUUUAUCUAGGAACCGGGUAUUUCCCGCUUUUUUCUCUAUUUCUUCCUUUUUCUUCUUUUAUAUUCGUUGACCCUUGGUCUCCCCUUUUUAGGAUCAACGCAAAAGGAAGGGUAGCACUCUUUUGAGGCCGUCCACGCAUCCGAAGAAAGCGAAGGCUUCUCAGCCCUCGGAGAAGGAAGCGGUUUCGGAAGUCAUGCCUCCUCCUAAGAAUCUUCUUCACUUCAUGCCCUUGCCAGGGCAGAA